CAAGCUGCGGAGAACAGGGAGGAUAUUGCCAGGUGCCACUAACUCUGAAAUGUCCCUAUGGAUAUAUUCCAGCCAACUGUGGCAUUAAUGGAAUCUGCUGCAAGAGUAAGUGAAAUACAGUGAGUUGGUCAUGCUAACAAGGGGGAAUGUUUGUUCAUUUUUAAUCCUGGUUUUUCACCCUGAUUUCCCGAUCUACGCUCUAGAUCUUCACUGGAGGAAACAGCAGCAGGGCUUGUGCUAAAGGAAAAAGUGGUCAAUCACUUUAUAAAUCAGAAUAGCUGAUAAUAUUCUCAGGGCAUACUAACCCUAUUCAUAGUACAGUGGUACCUUGGGUUAAGUACUUAAUUCGUUCCGGAGGUCAAUUCUUAACCUGAAACUGUUCUUAACCAGAAGCACCACUUUAGCUAAUGGGGCCUCCUGCUGCUGCUGCACCGCAGGAGCACAAUUUCUGUUCUCAUCCUGAAGCAAAGUUCUUAACCUGAAGCACUAUUUCUGGGUUAGCGGAGUCUGCAACCUGAAGCAUAUGUAACCUGAAGGGUAUGUAACCUGAGGUACCACUGUAGUACAAAGUAUGAUUCAGUUCUCAAGCUGCACUUCUAGGUGACCAAACUGAGCCUUCUGAUGUGUAUUUUUCUCCAUGAGGCUUAGUUUCAUCAGAAUCGAGUACAGUGGUACCUCAGGUUACAAAUGCUUUGGGUUACGUGUUUUCAGGAUGGGGACAGCGGGAAACCCAGAAGUACUGGUAAGGGUUACUUCUGGGUGUCGCCACUCGUGCAUGUGCAGAACUGCUAAAUUGUGCUUCGUGGAAAUGCGCAGAAGCGCCAAAUCGCAUCACACGUGUGCGCAGACGCGGCCCUGCAGGUUACGAACGCUGCGGGUUGUGGACGUGUCUUCGUCACGGUUUACAUCCGCAACCCGAGGUUCCACUGUACACACUUCCAGAGCUAAUGCUAAAUACAUUAAUUCUGGUAAAGGAGCCGCCAUAGCCACUAGAGAGCAUUGAAAAUUGGAUCUUGGGCUUUUUAAACUGGUCUACCCAUGUACUAUCUGAAACCAAAAGGGCACAUUGCCUGCCAGAAUUCUUUUCAGCGGACUAGGCCUGCACGCCUUCUUCCCUGUCUGCUACAGAUUCCUGCGUUUCAGGGUAGCAUACCCUCCAACAUUUCUCCAAAGAAAAUAGGGACGUCCCAUUCCAUCAUGAUAAUUUAACUAUGUAUACCCCACACAUCUUAUUGGGUUGCUUCCAAUAUAUAUAUAAAAACAUAAUAAAACAUUAAAUAUUGUAAAAACUUCAGAUGGCUCAGGUGCUGCAUUUCUCUAAUGAAAAUAGAGAUAUUCUAAGGAAAAGUGGGGGAUGUCGGUGGUGCUGUGGGUUAAACCACUGAGCCUAGGGCUUGCUGAUCGGAAGGUUGGCAGUUCAAAUCCCCACGACAGGGUGAGCUCCCGUUGCUCAGUCCCUGCUCCUGCCAACCUAGCAGUUCGAAAGCAUGUCAAAGUGCAAGUGGAUAAAUAGGUACCACUCCAGCGGGAAGGUAAACGGUGUUUCUGUGCGCUGCUCUGGUUUGUCAGAAGCGGCUUAGUCAUGCUGGCCACAUGACCGGGAAGAUGUACGCCGGCUCCCUCGGCCAGUAAAGCAAGAUGAGCGCCGCAAUCCCAGAGUUGUCCGCAACUGGACCUAAUGGUCAGGGGUCUCUUUACCUAAGGAAAAGUGGGAUAUUCCAGGAUCAAAUCAGAAACCAGGACGGCUUCUCUAAAUCAGGGAUAUCCCUGGAAAAUAGGGACACUUGGAGGGUCUGGGGGUAGGACUAAAUGUUAUUUUGAGCCCUUCAAACUCUACAAUUCUAUGAUCCCCUUGCAUCAUCUGAAGGUGAGGAAUCUGACUUUGGGGCCAUGAACGAUAGAUCUCCUUGUUUCUUUGAUGCAGAUAAACCACCAACAAUGCCCGAGUGCGAUAGACUGGGAGGGUUCUGCCAAGAGGAUCUCAGCAAACCCUGUCCAUCUGGUCGGAAUCUUCCGAGUUACUGUGGCGUCAAUACACAAUGCUGUGCCCUUGAAGGAUACCCGUGAGCAGCCCACCUCCAUGGUUAUGAAAGUCCGAUGGCUAUGCCAGUUCUUCUAGAUCUUUGCUUGUGGAAGUGGAGCAGAUCUGCGCAUGUGUGAAAGCAG